UGGGGAAUAUUGCACAAUGGACGGAAGUCUGAUGCAGCGACGCCGCGUGGGGGAUGAAGGCUUUCGGGUUGUAAACUCCUUUCAGUACAGAAGAAGCUUUAUUGUGACGGUAUGUGCAGAAGAAGCGCCGGCUAACUACGUGCCAGCAGCCGCGGUAAUACGUAGGGCGCGAGCGUUGUCCGGAAUCAUUGGGCGUAAAGGGUACGUAGGCGGAUAAGCAAGUUAGAAGUGAAAUCCUAUAGCUCAACUAUAGUAAGCUUUUAAAACUUCUCAUCUUGAGGUAUGGAAGGGAAAGUGGAAUUCCUAGUGUAGCGGUGAAGUGCGCAGAUAUUAGGAGGAAUACCGGUGGCGAAGGCGACUUUCUGGCCAUAUACUGACGCUGAGGUACGAAAGCGUGGGUAGCAAACAGG
rnacentral:rRNA from 1 species